rnacentral:rRNA from 1 species
UGGGGAAUAUUGCACAAUGGGCGAAAGCCUGAUGCAGCAACGCCGCGUGAGUGAUGAAGGUCUUCGGAUUGUAAAGCUCUGUCUUUUGGGACGAUAAUGACGGCACCAAGGAGGAAGCCACGGCUAACUACGUGCCAGCAGCCGCGGUAAUACGUAGGUGGCGAGCGUUGUCCGGAUUUACUGGGCGUAAAGGGUGCGUAGGCGGAUGUUUAAGUGAGAUGUGAAAUACCCGGGCUUAACUUGGGUGCUGCAUUUCAAACUGGAUAUCUAGAGUGCAGGAGAGGAGAAUGGAAUUCCUAGUGUAGCGGUGAAAUGCGUAGAGAUUAGGAAGAACACCAGUGGCGAAGGCGAUUCUCUGGACUGUAACUGACGCUGAGGCACGAAAGCGUGGGUAGCAAACAGGAUUAGAUACCCUGGUAGUCCACGCCGUAAACGACGAGUACUAGGUGUAGGAGGUAUCGACCCCUUCUGUGCCGCAGUAAACACAUUAAGUACUCCGCCUGGGAAGUACGAUCGCAAGAUUAAAACUCUAAAGUGAAUUGAC